rnacentral:lncRNA from 1 species
GGUGUGUUUGGUCGAUUAAAAACGCAGGGAACGAGCAGGAGCUUCACACAAACCCUAACUCUCACUAAAUCAAUCAAUUGAAGGCUCUAAUCUGGUCCAAAUCGAAAUCCGAGCACGUAUUAGUGAUCCCCACUGAAAAAGGAGUCACAAGUUUGACUCUAAACAAGCUAGGUGGGAGCUUGGAAAGGAACGGGUCAAACGAAUGAUGGAUGCGAAGGAUGUUUGCGCGGACGCGAGGGUAAAACGGCUUAUGGAAUUUACGUGGCUAU